UACGUAGGGUUCAAGCGUUAAUCGGAAUUACGGGGCGGAAAGCGGGCGCAGGCGGUUUUGUAAGUCUGACGUGAAAUCCCCGGGCUCAACCUGGGAAUUGCGUUGGAGACUGCAAGGCUAGAAUCUGGCAGAGGGGGGUAGAAUUCCACGUGUAGCAGUGAAAUGCGUAGAGAUGUGGAGGAACACCGAUGGCGAAGGCAGCCCCCUGGGUCAAGAUUGACGCUCAUGCACGAAAGCGUGGGGAGCAAACAGG
rnacentral:rRNA from 1 species